rnacentral:lncRNA from 1 species
AAUGGAUUGGAACUAUUCUGGAGUGACAUACCCACAAUCAAAUAAGGCAGCUCACUGCCUUCAGGCUUAAGUCACUUUCCUAACAGCCCAACCACCCAAAUGAUCUGUUCACACCGCACACUUCUCUUGUUCCACCUCAUGUUUCUGUUUCUCCCGCUUUUCCCCUCUCCAAAGUACAUCGGUUUCCACAGAAACAAAACACGUCAUCGGAAUGGACAGAACUUGGUGACAUCCCCGAGCGCAGACAGAAAAUGCAGUUUAGUGGAUGGUGAUGGGAUUUCAGCUGUCGAUGACAAGCAAGAAACAAAGGUUAAGAAAAUACCUAUAACCUCAUGACUUCCUGAGAAAACAAGGUGCACAUGAUGACGGCUUACAAAAACAAUCUGCUGUCCUAGUAAAAACCUAAUGCAAUCCAUCCUACAUUCCUUGUGUUAUCAAAUAUAAAAUCUGAAGUAAAUCAAGCAUUUUUCUGGCCAGUGCCCUUUUCCCUGCCUAAACCCCUACGUAAUGUGUUGG